GAUGAAGAACGUAGCGGAAUGCGAUAAGUAAUGUGAAUUGCAGAAUUCAGUGAAUCAUCGAAUCUUUGAACGCACAUUGCGCCCCUUGGUAUUCCGAUGGGCAUGCCUGUUCGAGCGUCAUUAUAACCCCUCAAGCUCAGCUUGGUGUUGGGGCCUGCUGCACUGGCAGCCCUUAAAAUCAGUGGCGGCGCCAUCUGGCUCUAAGCGUAGUAAUUCUUCUCGCUAUGGAGUCCUGGUGGAUGCUUGCCAUCAACCCCCAAUUUUUCUAUGGUUGACCUCGGAUCAGGUAGGAAUACCCGCUGAACUUAAGCAUAUCAAUAAGCGGAGGA
rnacentral:misc_RNA from 1 species